rnacentral:tRNA from 1 species
UUAACUGAAGCCAAAAAGCGGCAUCUCAUUGUUAAUGAGUCUAUUGAAAUUUUCCAGUUAUA